GAAAAAAAAACUAUAUUCGCUGAAAUUGACUAUUAACAAAAGUUCUCUGAGAUGCAGCCAACGUUUUGUUUUAAAUAUAUCACAAAAUUUCCAACUUUAUUUAUCACGAUUGUGUGGAUAACUCUAUAAAGCCGUAUUAAAAACACUUUAAUCCUUUCAACAAAAAAAAAA